rnacentral:rRNA from 1 species
CCUUCGUAGUGGAUACGGGGGACGAAAGAUUUAUCGCCAAAGGAUUAGCCCGCGUUGGAUUAGGUAGUUGGUGGGGUAACGGCCUACCAAGCCGACGAUCCAUAGCUGGUUUGAGAGGAUGAUCAGCCACACUGGGACUGAGACACGGCCCAGACUCCUACGGGAGGCAGCAGUGGGGAAUCUUAGACAAUGGGGCAACCCUGAUCUAGCCAUGCCGCGUGAGUGAUGAAGGCCUUAGGGUUGUAAAGCUCUUUUGGCGGGGACGAUAAUGACGGUACCCGCAGAAUAAGCUCCGGCUAACUUCGUG